AGAGGAGUUGGUUUGUUGAAAAUCUCAUCAAUUUAAGUAAAUCUAGACUGUUUCAAAUAUUGUUUACUAUAAUACUAUUGCAGCUUGAAUGGAUAACUACUGCUGUUUGUGCAUAUCACUACCUGAAUACCCCUCAUUGUUGUACAUAGAAAUUGUGCCUCUUUUAUUAGCAUAACAACAACGCCUGAUAUGGAUUGUUUAUCAGUUUAUGUGUUAAUAAUUUUUAUUUUGCAGUGGAUAUAUGGCACCUGAAUAUGCAAUGCGAGGUUAUUUAACCGAUAAGGCAGAUGUGUAUAGUUUUGGACAGUUGGUGUUAGAAG
rnacentral:misc_RNA from 1 species